AGUGAACGCUGGCGGUAGGCCUAACACAUGCAAGUUGAACGGCAGCACAGUAAGAGCUUGCUCUUACGGGUGGCGAGUGGCGGACGGGUGAGGAAUACAUCGGAAUCUACUUUUUCGUGGGGGAUAACGUAGGGAAACUUACGCUAAUACCGCAUACGACCUACGGGUGAAAGCAGGGGAUCUUCGGACCUUGCGCGAUUGAAUGAGCCGAUGUCGGAUUAGCUAGUUGGCGGGGUAAAGGCCCACCAAGGCGACGAUCCGUAGCUGGUCUGAGAGGAUGAUCGCCAAAAUUGGACCGGGACACGGGCCCGACUGCUUACGGAAGCAAGCAGUGGGAAUAUUGGACAAUGGGGGCAAGCCUGAUCCAGCCAUACCGCGUGGGUGAAGAAGGCCUUCGGGUUGUAAAGCCCUUUUGUUUGGAAAGAAAAUCAGCAGGUUAAUACCCCGCUGUUCUGGCGGUACCCAAAGAAUAAGCACCGGGUGACUUGGUG
rnacentral:rRNA from 1 species